CUCCUUGUGCCUUUUGUUGUAUUUUUAGCAUUUUUGCUGUGUUUUAAAUUUUAUUUUGUUUCUGAUGCACUGAAAAAGGAGACACGGGCCGCAGAAGGCCCCUGCGCCACACUUUGGGCACACCUACUUUUGUGGAUCUUGGUCAGGGUCAGGCUUGUAGCGUCGGCUCCAUGAACAAACUACAGCUCUGGUUUGUUGUCGUGGGCGAGCGAUGGUGUUUGAGGAAAGAGAGGCUGGUCAAUGCUUUACAACAGUCGAGCGCCACUGCAGCUCGAAGAAUUUUUUUGGAGGCGCACGUCUAUGGAGUUAUAUUUGUGCCUUAACUUUCAGGUAGCAAAGGCAGGUUAUGAGCCAUAUUAACGUGCAAUAAAUACUGUUGCGUGCACAGGAACAUCGCUGCGCUCUGUCACUCCCUCCCUCCCUCAACCUCUGCAAGCUGCUCGCUCAACCUUUUUGGUACAGCAGCGAGGCGAGCCGGUGUGCGUGCACUGGUUCCUCCCGGCCCAGUUUUGGGGACCGGGCUCCUGCUUUAAAAAGUAUAAAGUAAUUGUUAUUUCUUACACGGUAGUAAUACACACAUGAUACUGUACUGUCCUGUAUUUUAUAUAUUCCUUCUUAGUAAAAUGUUAAGGAUGUGAAUCUCUGGUAGGGGUGGCUUUUUCCCCUAAGGGCCAUGUACAGAAAAAUGAAAGGAUGCGGAGGCCACUUUGAUACAUUUUGUGCAUUAAAGAUGCUAAAAUCCAUCCAAUUAAAACGUUCGAGUUCAAGUCAACUCUAACACAAUGUAGGUCAAUAUAUGCUAAGCUAUCUGAGCAAAACAGUCACAUCUCAGCUUUGUGUGAAGGGUGACAAAGAAAAUGAAUGUACUAUCUAAUAAUAUAUCCCAUUAAUAACAACCUUGAAAAUGGAUGUACAAAUGUAAAUGUAAAUAAAUGCAAAAAAAUACAUGUAAAAAAUUUAAAUUUGUAUCUGACCCUCACAGACUCCCUGAAACCUAGACGUAGACGCCAGGUUUGUGAUUAAUAAUUAAAAAAAUAAACCCAACACAUUUUUGAUUUAAUACAUGAUUACAUACAUUUUAUUAAUACACAGAUAAAAAUCUGAUAAUGAUAACAACAUAAAUUGGAUGCAUUUUACUUGUAGGCAGCUUUCUAAACUAUAAUAUCACCCAAUAUUGUACCAUUAAAAUUAGGAGUGAUUAAAAUAAUACAAUUCCAGUGGUAGUCACAAUGGCUACACUGAAUGACAGAAACAUACCAUCAAAACAUAAUUAUAGAACUAAAGAAGAAGAAGACGCUAAGGUGAUAUGAAUAAAGUGACAGAAUAGUGACGAUUUUUUGUGUUUUGGUUCCACUUUAUGCGAAGUGAGCACAGUUAUGUAUGGACAUGCAUGUAUAAACACCGCCCUCUGCUGCUGAAAACGGAGCAUCAGUGUCCAACCUAUUGGUUGGAUAGGAAUUUCUCAACCAGGAAGUACGGUGGCCUUUAAAGCAUGAAAGGCAUUUGACAAGAAAGUGUGUGUUGAAGUGCUUCCAUUAUGAAGGACUCUUGUUGUAUCUGUCUAUCUAGCUGUCUGCCUGUCACCAAACCACGUGGACGACACAUGUAGGAAGUGUUUCAUGCCCGAAAGGGCAUGUGGUGGCAUGUGGUGACGUCCCCAUCGAAAAAGCGCGAAUCAAACCAUUGCUUGUCACUCAUCAUCUCGUGGCUCGUGAAUGGCACAUCAGCAGAGGACAAAGCCUGCUACCAACUUGGAACGACAAUGACAUCCAGCAGCUUAUCUCUUGUGUUUGUCUCGAUACUCUGCAAUCUGACUGUGGUGGCGUCGAAAGACAGCCCUGUGGCAUGCUACACCAUCGAGCCUGGCAUGGUGGCAGGUAUUGUUUGCGCAGAUGUGGCGUUGACCCUCUUCCUGGUUUUCCUCACCUUCCGAUGUGCGGUCUCUCCGCAUCCAAAAAAGCAUUGUCGAGAAGAGGCGCUGUGGAGGAAUUUUGGCCCACUCAUCUUUGCAGAAUUGUUGUAAUUCAGCCACAUUGGAGGGUUUUCCAGCACGAGCCGCCUUUUUAAGGUCAUGCCACAGCAUCUCAAUAUCCUGCGUGUUCCCCUGAUCUAAAUCCAAUUGAGAACAUUUGGGGAUGGAUGGCAAAGGAAGUUUACAAAUAUGUAAAUUCUUGAGUUAUUACAAUAAUUCAACUUCUAUUUGAGUAUUCAGUUCUCCAUUGGUUAAUAUUUUAUCAAAUGAGGAAACUACAAACAUUGACUCCUUCCUUGUCAUCCUCCAUCACAUGGUAACAUGGAAGCCUCACUUCCUCUAAGUUUGUCUCCUCUUCCUGGUGGAACAUCACUACUGUACCCCAAACAAGCAUGAAGGACACACUUUGUAUUGGGGGUUCACUAUUUGGUGAGUGAAGUGUGAAAACCUUGUGUUUUGAACGAUACCCAGUACAUGUCCAGUGUAUUUGUGCACAGUUACCAUGAAUAACAUUGUCUUGCAGGUUCUACAGGACAACAAGGUAACUUAUUUAUACUCCUGUCGGAUGUUGCAGCUAUAGUGUAACGUUUCUGUUUUGGCUUUCACAGAGUGCGGAUCCUGUUAUCUUAUUAGCAUGCAGUCUGUAGUAGGAAUGAUCACCUCUGAUAUCAUCUUGACUGUCUUCAUUACUAUUUCUGUCUUCUACUUUGUGACCCUCCACAAGAAAAAGGCAGAACUGAAUGUCGCAACCGCAAAGGAGGAAAA